GAUAGCAUUAACCAGAGCCAAUGGCAACACGUGGAUAAUUGCGGACCAUUUAGAAAUGUCACAGAUACUCUCACCAAAAUUGCACAGGUAAUCGUAAGUGAAGAAAACGCAGGUGAAGUGAGCCAGCAAGUAUUAUCUGUUACUUCCAACAUCGAAGAUAUCACAUCAGAUGACAUCACGUUUGUGGCAGAGAUAACAUCACAAAUUGUGCAGCAAAAUCUUACAAGUGAAGAGGUAACGGAGUCUAUAACGAGUAUUGCGAGCAAUAUAGCUCAGGUAGAAACAGAGGAACUUGUAGCUGCUGAGGAAGACGGUGGGGCAAUAACUAAAUUUGUCCAGGCUUUUGAGGAACAAAUCAGUCGUGUUGAGGUUGCCGAUGGUGAGAUGCUCAACAUUCAG